AGUGAACGCUGGCGGUAGGCCUAACACAUGCAAGUCGAACGGCAGCACAGGAGAGCUUGCUCUCUGGGUGGCGAGUGGCGGACGGGUGAGGAAUACAUCGGAAUCUACUUUUUCGUGGGGGAUAACGUAGGGAAACUUACGCUAAUACCGCAUACGACCUGCGGGUGAAAGCAGGGGACCUUCGGGCCUUGCGCGAUUGAAUGAGCCGAUGUCGGAUUAGCUAGUUGGCGGGGUAAAGGCCCACCAAGGCGACGAUCCGUAGCUGGUCUGAGAGGAGGAUCAGCCACACUGGAACUGAGACACGGUCCAGACUCCUACGGGAGGCAGCAGUGGGGAAUAUUGGACAAUGGGCGCAAGCCUGAUCCAGCCAUACCGCGCGGGUGAAGAAGGCCUUCGGGUUGUAAAGCCCUUUUGUUGGGAAAGAAAUCCAGCUGGCUAAUACCCGGUUGGGAUGACGGUACCCAAAGAAUAAGCACCGGCUAACUUCGUGCCAGCCGCCGCUGUAA
rnacentral:rRNA from 1 species